GACACUGAGGUGGGAAAGCGUGGGUAGCAAACAGGAAUUAGAUACCUGGUAGUCCACGCGUAAAACGAUGUCAACUAGCCGUUGGGUCCCUUUGAGGACUUAGUGGCGCAGCUAACGCAAUAAGUUGACCGCCUGGGGAGUACGGCCGCAAGGUUAAAACUCAAAUGAAUUGACGGGGGCCCGCACAAGCGGUGGAGCAUGUGGUUUAAUUCGAUGCAACGCGAAGAACCUUACCUACCCUUGACAUCCAGAGGACUUUCCAGAGAUGGAUUGGUGCCUUCGGGAACUCUGAGACAGGUGCUGCAUGGCUGUCGUCAGCUCGUGUUGUGAAAUGUUGGGUUAAGUCCCGUAACGAGCGCAACCCCUAUCCUUAUUUGCCAGCGAGUCAUGUCGGGAACUCUAAGGAGACUGCCGGUGACAAACCGGAGGAAGGUGGGGACGACGUCAAGUCAUCAUGGCCCUUACGGGUAGGGCUACACACGUGCUACAAUGGCAAGUACAAAGGGUUGCAAUACGGCGACGUGGAGCCAAUCCCAUAAAGCUUGCCUCAGUCCGGAUUGGAGUCUGCAACUCGACUCCAUGAAGUCGGAAUCGCUAGUAAUCGUGGAUCAGAAUGCCACGGUGAAUACGUUCCCGGGCCUUGUACACACCGCCCGUCACACCAUGGGAGUGGACUGCACCAGAAGUGGUUAGCC
rnacentral:rRNA from 1 species